UGGGGUAUCGCCAAGUGGUAAGGCAACGGUUUUUGGUACCGUUAUUCGAAGGUUCGAAUCCUUCUACCCCAUCCA
rnacentral:tRNA from 2 species